rnacentral:RNase_P_RNA from 1 species
GCGGAGGGCCGGAUGGCCGCGGCGGCCUUCGGGGCGUCGAGGAAAGUCCGGACUCCAUGAAGCAACGGUGCCGGGUAACGCCCGGGCGGGGCAACCCGACGGAAAGCGCCACAGAAAUGAAACCGCCAUGCUCCGGCAUGGUAAGGAUGAAACGGUGGGGUAAGAGCCCACCGCGCCGCUGGUAACAGGGGCGGCAUGGCAAGCCCUACCGGGAGCAAUGCCAAAUAGGACCCCCGCGCGGGCCGGUCCCCGCAAGGGGAAACCGCCGCUAGGCUUGCUUCAGCCAAGAGGGGUCGGGUUGGCAGCACGAGGCGCAGCGCGAGCUGCGUCCCAGAUGAAUGGUCAUCGACGGGGGCAACCCCUGAACAAAAUCCGGCUUACAGGCCCUCCGCGCUA